GGGCACCUGGGUGUGGAGCAGGCAGGCAAGCUGGAGUUCCCCAUUACUAAAAUAAGGAACAUGCUCCUAGGAAGUAUAUUACUUUCUUUGGAAUGUAUCUUGGACAUUCUAGACUCAGGUCCAGGUUCCCUGGAUAGACUCUGACGUAGAAAUAUGCCUGCCAAAGGUGUUUUGGAAAGUGCUCUCAAAAACACCACCUUUAAGAAAGUGAGCAAUGCAACCCAGGUCCUCUCUGUGGCCAGCUAAACAAAGGGCCAGGAACAAUAUAAGAAAGCUCUGGUACAAAGAAAAUAACUUAAAAGGUAAUAAUUACUCUCAUUUCUUGAGCACUAAUUGUAUGCCAGGUAUUGUGCUAAGAGCUUUAUUACUAUGCACAUAAUAGCAACAAUCCUGCAAGGUAGGUUUUAAUAUACCCUCCUCACAGGUGAAGAAACUGAGACUCAGAGUUUUUAAAGACACA